GAUGAACGCUGGCGGCGUGCCUAAUACAUGCAAGUCGAGCGAACAGACCAGGAUCUUGCUCCUCUGACGUUAGCGGCGGACGGGUGAGUAACACGUGGAUAACCUACCUAUAAGACUGGGAUAACUUCGGGAAACCGGAGCUAAUACCGGAUAAUAUAUUGAACCUCAUGGUUCAAUAGUGAAAGACGGUUUUUCUGUCACUUAUAGAUUGAUCCGCGCCGCAUUAGCUAGUUGGUAAGGUAACGGCUUACCAAGGCGGCGAUGGGUAGCCGACCUGAGAGGGUGGACGGGCACCCUGGAAGUGAGGAAGGGUCCCCACAUCUGGGGGGAGACACAGUCGGGAAUCCUACGGGAUGGGGCAAAGGCUGACCGUGCGAAAGCGGCGAAAGGCUGAAGGACCUAGGACGGGUAAACGAUGUUGUUAGGAGAAUAGAAAUGUGUAAGUAACUAUGACCGUAUUGACGGUACCUAGACAGAAAGCCACGGCUAACUACGUG
rnacentral:rRNA from 1 species